UGAAAUUGUUGUUUGUUGUUCCGGCCCCAUUUAAACUUGCCUAGAUAGUUAGUUUACUUAUGUUUCAUCUCUUGCCAUGUUUAACAACAUUUAAUAUUGUUGUGUACCUAAACAAGAGUGAACUAAAUAACUCGAUGUGGUGUUUUGUCAAUAUGCAACUCAUUGCAUAUUGAGCUCCACUUAAUUUGUAGUAUUGUUUGUUGCAUAAGGCCAUGCCAUGCCUCAUUAAACCGGACAUGCAUCAUACUUGAUUGUGCAUCAUGCCAUGAUUAUGCUUGUGUGUUUACCAUGUUGCUUGCUUCUUUCCGGUUUGCUUCUCUUGUUAGCUUCGGUUUCGUUCCGGAGUUGUGAGGAUUCGUUCGACUACGUCCGUUUGUCUUCUUCGUGGACUCGUUCUUCUUCCUUGCAGGAUCUCAGGCAAGAUGACCAUUACCCUCGAUAUCACUUCUAUCUUUGCUUGCUAGUUGCUUCAUUCUAUCGCUAUGAUGCGCUACCUAUCACUUGUUUACCAUGCCUCCCAUAUUGUCAUGUCAGCCUCUAACCUUUUCACCCUUCCUAGCAAACCAUUGUUUGGCUAUGUUACCGCUUUGCUCAGCCCCUCUUAUAGCGUUGUUAGUUGUAGGUGAAGUUGAAGAUUGCUCCAUGAUGGACAGGAUUAUGUUGGGAUAGCACAAUAUCUCUCAUUUAAUUAAUGCAUCUAUAUACUUGGUAAAGGGUGGAAGACUCGGCCUUAUGCCUGGUGUUUUGUUCCACUCUUGCCGCCUUAGUUUCCGUCAUAUCGGUAUUAUGUUCCCGGAUUUUGCGUUCCUUACACGGUUGGGUGAUUUAUGGGACCCCCUUGACAGUUUGCUUUGAAUAAAACUCCUCCAGCAAGGCCCAACAUUGGUUUUAACAUUUGCCACCUAAGCCUUUUUCCCUUGGGUUCUGCAGACUCAAGGGUCAUCUUUAUUUACCCCCCGGGCCAGUGCUCCUCCGAGUGUUGGUCCAAACUAGAGCACCGUGCGGGACCAUUCCUUGGCAACUUGGAUUACGUCAGUUCCUAUACGCUUCACUUAUCCGGUGUGCCUUGAGAACGAGAUAUGUGCAGCUCCUAUCAGGAUUUGUCGGCACAACUGGGCGGCUUUGCUGGUCUUGUUUUACCAUUGUCGAAAUGUCUUGUAAACCGGGAUUCCGAGUCUGAUCGGGUCUUCCUGGGAGAAGGUAUAUCCUUCGUUGAUCGCAAGAGCUUAUCAUGGGCUAAGUUGGGACACCCCUGCAGGGUAUAAACUUUCGAAAGUCGUGCCUGCGUUUAUAGGCAGAUGGGAAUUUGUUAAUGUCCGGUUGUUAGGACCCCGACUCGAUGCCACAUCGAUCUAGCAUGUAACACCUCAUAUCACUUUGCGGCCUCACGCACGGUUUUCCCACGGGUGUCCUCUUACCUUUGCCCGGGACCGUUUGCGCCUUUUGGCACACGUAUAUGAUAGUGUCGCUAGCAUCCAUAUGGUAAGGAGCCCGGGCUGACAUGGCUAGUCGUAAACCCAAAGUGGCACAGACUUACAGGGACAGGCAUCCAUGACCCAGCAUCGAACGUGUCGGUCAUCAGCAAGUGAAUCCAGGCUGUAGCACUGGGCUAGCAGGACUCCGGUAAAUCGGGCUGUAGCGGGCUAACAGGACUCCGGUAUCCAUCGUGUGACAUUUCCCCGAAGGGACAGAAACAGGAACAAAGAAGGACACAUGCCGGCCAGCCUAAGUGUUCCGGAGCAGUAGCAAGCUACCAAGGCUCAGUGGAGACACUAGGAGACAUUUCCCAGUAAGAGAGGCUACUAAGAAUAAACAACUAGAUAGUCAGAUCCCACACAUACCAAGCAUUUCAAUCAUACACACAAUAUGCUCGAUAUGUGCAAAUACAACAAGGCAUCACAACAUGACUCUACGACACCAGUACUUUAUUUAAGGCUCAGAGAGCCAUACAUAUCAUACACACAAGUACGGGUCACACGACCCAGCAUUCAAGUCAUACAGACAUACAAGCCAACAGCGGAAGUAACUUGUCUGGGUACAGACAACUAGUAAAAUAAAAGAGGCUUGGGAAAGCCUGGCUAUACUACGUGGUCCUUCACAAGCUCAGGAUCACCACCUGGGCCUCGGUAUACUCAUCGAUGUCAACUUCUACGAAGAACCCAUCAGAAGGGGUUGCAGCGUCUUCUGAAAAAUGUAAAUUAAAGCAACAUGAGUACAAAGGUACUCAGCAAGACUUACAUCAGAUCCUACAUACAUGCACAUUAUCAAGAAGGGUUGGUGGGGUUAUUGCAGCAAGCCAGCUUUGACUCUUGGCUAAGCUAUCCUACGAUACACCAACUUGAAAUGGUUUUGCGCACACGAGUACACUACUCACCACUUCAAUACACCACCGAGGAUCCACCUCCGUCAUCCUACGGAAGAACCAUCCUUGGCACUCACGCUUAUCUUGAGAUUUUUAGUAGUAUCCAUUUACUUGUCUAUGAACUGUAUAGGAAACCAAGUAGUCCUUUACCGCGGACGCGGCUAUUCGAAUAGAUAAUGUUAACCCUGCAGGGGUGUACUUCUUCAUACACGCUCUCACCACUUACCGCCGUUUACACGACAUGUACUCGGCAACCUUCAAGCGGAAGCCCAACGUGGGUGUCGGCCACGACCUACCUAAACACCUAAUUCUCUAGUCCAGGUUUAUCGCCUAUCCAGGUUCCAUCCGCAGGGAGUCCGGCCGAGGUUUCCACAUACGGCCCCGAACGAUGUGUACAGGGUUCCCGAGAUACCUAACGGGUAUCCGGUACACCGUGCCACAUACCUACCGCAUCACAGCCCACCGCUAUGGUCAGCGCUGUCCACGGCCUCCAGUAGGCUACAAACACCAGAAAUUACUUGCAACUCCUGGACAGAGGACUAGGGUGAAUAAGAAGCCGAGAGGGUCCAUUGGUUUCAGGCCCAAUGCAUGGUAGUAGAUGAUUCUUAAAUCACACAUACAGAUCUCAGUGCUUAAGGACGGCUUCAAUGAAACAACCCACCAUGUACUCCUACAUGGCCUUUCAUCGAUACCUUUACCAAAUCGUGUUCACCACAUCACUCUCAUUACCGGCAUGAUCAUUUCACUCUAGCCCAUCACCCAGAUGAACCAGACCUGACUCGACUCUAAGCAUAGCAGGCAUAGCAAGGUAGGAACAACACAUACAUAUGGCUCAAUCAACUCCUACACAUGCUAGUGGGUUUCAUCUAGUUACUGUGGCAAUGACAGGUCAUGCAGAGGAAAUGGGUUCAACUACCGUAGCACACAGCAGUUUGGAACGCGUUGUCUUAAUGCAGUAAAAGAGAGCAGAAGCGAGAACAUGGGAUUGUAUCGAUAUGAUCAAAUGGUUGGUUGCUUGCCUGAUGGGUCGAUGCACUGAUAUUGUUCUUCGUUGGGGUAAUCACGAUACUCCUCAAGGGCAGGACCUGCCGCAGAGAGCACCGAUACACAACAUCACCAAACAAUAUGCAGUAAUAUGAUGCAUGCAUGAAACAUGGCAAUAUGAGUGUGUUGGGCUAAUGCAACUAAAACCAGAUGGGUUUGAACCAUUUUGAAUCAAAGAUUCAAGUUUCAAACUCAUACAUGGCCCUUAUAAGGUGCUUUAACUUGUUCUGCAAUAAACAGUAGGUUAGCUUGUUUAAACAUGCAUGAAACUAGUACAGAUGGAUAGAUUGGAUUUUUCUGAUCAUUUUUCAUAUAUAACACUUUGCAUUUGGAGUUAUGGUUGAUUUACUAUGAAUUUUUGAAGUUUGGGGGAUUUUCUGGAAUUUAUAAAUCAUUCUAGAUUUAUUUUAAUUCCAGAAAAGGAUUACUGCGUCAGCAUGAUGUCAUGCUGACCUCAGCAGGUCAAUAGGCCGGUCCAGGUCAAACUGACCAGUGGGUCCCGCAUGUCAGCACAAUUAGUUUAGCUAAAAAUUAAUUAGAACUAAACCGGAUUAGUUAACAGGGCUGGGCCCCACCUGUCAUUGACUCAACAGAGUCAACCAGGGCCCACCCGUGGUCAAAGUCAAGUCGGCUGCACCGGCGUUUAGCCGCCGGCGAGCCCGACGCGGCGGCGGAAGUGCUUUGGGCCGUUCCGGCCACCAAAUGGGUCGCGGAAGGCAUCUAAGUGGAGCUGGGGACAAACCGCAGCUCUUGGUGGGGUCGGGGUGGCCAGAAUCGGCGCCGACGAUGACCUAGGUGGCCGCCGGAGUUCGGGUGGAGGCGAACUCGGGGCCAGGGUGUGUGGUGAGGUGUGGGGAGUGUAUGGUUAGACCCUACGCGACGUGGUGAGUGCGAUGGACACUGAGAGGUGACCGGAGGAUGGCCGGGAGCACGUCGGCGACGAUCUCCGCGGUGGUGCGUGCGGGUGAUCUUCGUGCAGUUGCUACACAGCUCGGGGGCGAGAGAGAAAGGGAAGGGGAGGUAGCUAGGCUCACAGGGCACUCGUGGAGGCAACUGGCGGGGUCGGGGAUGGACUGAUGCGGCGACGGCGUUGCAGGGGAUCUCCGGCGACGGCGGACUCGGGUAGAGUCGGUGCGGUGGACUCGGGCCACACGAGCACGCGGGGCUCGGCUAGCUCGACGAAGAGGAUGGCGGCGGAGCUCCUAGACACGGCGAGACGGAGCACGGACGGCGGGGAGCGCGGCUACGGCGAUGGGGCGGCGGCGGUGGCGUCGGCCAUGGCUGGGGAGCACGAGGGAGAGGAGCUGGGGAGGAGAGGAGAUGUCUGAGGGGUUCGGGGGAGAGGGGGGGAGCGAUCUCCAUCAUCAGCUGGACGAGGGGAGCGGCGAGGCGGCGACCAGGUGUGUGGCACCCAUGCGGUGCUCGCCGCCGAGCACCUGCCUGCCUGCCUGGCCGAGCCAAGCAGCUCGCUGGCGCGGCAGCUGGGCUGGGCCGGCAGGUGGGCCGGUUAGUAGGCGCUAGGUAAGGUUUUCUUCCUAUUUUCCUGUUUCUGCUUUAUUCUGUAAGUUUGUGGACUUAUUAAAAAUACCUAGACAACUCCUAAAUUCCCCAAACUGCUCCUGGUCCUUAGUUGGAAUAUUUACAGCAUGGAACAUUUUAGUUUGGAAAUAUUUGAGCAUUCAAAAUAAUUUUAUAUAAUUUAAAUGCCCAAACUCAAAUACUUAUGAGUUAAUUCAAAGACCUUAGGAUGACCUAGAAAACUAUGCAUCACUUUUGGCAGAGGUUCUGAACCAAGACAAAAAUGAUGGACAUUUUGGAAGGGCAUUUCAGGUUCAUUGAAAAUAUUUUUAGUAAACCCUAGUUGGAUUCAGAGGGGGCUGGGGGUUCUGUCAUCCCCAUUUCAAGUUUCUGAUGAAAGAAUAGACAUGAUGCAACACUCUAAUGCAUGAACUAGCUAGGGUGUGACAACUCACCCCCACUCAAAAGAAUCUCGUCCCGAGAUUUAGGUUCCUCCGGAAAGAAGGCGGGGUACUCAAGUCGAAGACGAUCCUCCCUUUCCCAAGUUGCUUCCUUCUCAGAAUGGUGCGACCAUUGAACCUUGAGAAACUUGAUAUUAUGACGUUGAGUGGUACGCUCGGCUUGAUCGAGGAUACGAACGGGGUACUCUCGAUACGUGAGGUUAUCUUGAAGAUCAAGCGUUUCGUGGUCCACUGCACGGAUAGGAUCCGAGAAGCAACGCCUGAGUUGAGAAACGUGGAAGACAUCAUGGACUCUGGAAAGAUGCGGAGGUAAUUCCAAUUGGUAGGCAACUUCUCCUCGUUUAGCGAGAAUGCGAAAGGGUCCAAUGUAGCGAGGAGCCAAUUUGCCUUUGAUACCGAAGCGAUGGGUUCCCUUCAGAGGAGUAACCCGAAGGUAAGCCUUCUCGUCAACCUCAAAGGUCAUAGCCUUAUGUUUUCGGUCGUAUUGACUCUUUUGACGAGAUUGGGCUGUUUUCAACUUUUCAUGAACAAUGCGAACUUGCUCUUCUGCUUCCUGGAUCAUGUCUGGGCCAAAGAAUUGUCUUUCCCCGGUUUCUGACCAGUUAAGAGGCGUUCGACACCUUCGUCCAUAGAGAACUUCAAAAGGGGCUUUACCCAAGCUAGAUUGAUAGCUGUUGUUAUAAGCAAAUUCGGCAAAUGGAAGGCAUUUCUCCCAAUCCAUUCCGAAUGAGAUAACCGAAGCUCGAAGCAUGUCUUCUAGAAUCUGGUUGACACGUUCUACUUGACCACUUGAUUGAGGGUGAAAAGCAGUGCUAAAAGAAAGGCGGGUUCCCAUAGCAUUUUGGAAACUUUCCCAAAAUAGAGAGGUGAAGAGACUUCCUCGAUCGGAGUUAAUUUCCAGUGGAACACCAUGGAGAGACAUUAUUCGGAAGAUGUACAAGUCUACUAAUUGACUAGCGGUUAUACUCUCGCGAACAGGUAAGAAAUGGGCUACUUUGGAAAGACGAUCGACAACGACGAAGAUAGCGUUAUUCCCUCUCUUGGUCCUGGGAAAACCGGUAAUGAAAUCCAUACCAAUUUUAUCCCAUUUCCAUUCGGGAAUAGCUAAGGGUUGAAGGGUGCCAGUAGGCCGCUGAUGCUCUGCUUUUACACGGCGACAGACGUCGCAGCUAGCAACAAACUGAGCAAUGUCUCUCUUCAUCCUAGUCCACCAGAACCUCUGGCGUAGGUCCUGAUACAUCUUAGUACUACCGGGAUGAAUGGUGAGAGGAGAUUCAUGAGCUUCCUUUAGGAUCAAUAGCCUCAGGUUUCGCACUUUGGGAACCACUAGACGGUUCCCGAAGUAUAUGACUCCUUGAUCAUCAAUGGAGAAACAAUUCGCAACUCCUUUCUUGAUGUUUCUUUUGAUGCGGGAAAUCCUCGGAUCUACCUUCUGUGCUUUGAUGAUCUGAUCCGUAAGGGUAGGUUUCGCCACCAAGGUGGAAAGGAAUCCUUGAGGAACAAUGUGAAGGUUAAGCUUCCGAAAUUCCUCAUGGAGAAGCGGUUGACUUUGUUGUAACAUCAGAUUGUUACAAUAAGAUUUACGACUUAGUGCAUCAGCCAUGACGUUGGCCUUUCCUGGGGUGUAAGUUAUUCCUAAGUCGAAAUCUAUGAUCAACUCAACCCAACGUCUUUGCCUGAGAUUCAAAUCCGGUUGGGUGAAGAUGUACUUCAGACUUUGGUGAUCGGUGAAGAUUUCGCAACAAUUACCGAGGAGGUAAUGUCGCCAGGUUUUAAGUGCAUAGACUAUAGCUACAAGCUCUAGAUCAUGAGUAGGAUAAUUCUCCUCAUGUGGGUGUAAUUGCCGUGAAGCAUAAGCAAUUACGUGACGAUCUUGCAUUCUAGUCCUUGUCGCGAGGCGUCGCAAUAGAUAACAAAGUCCUUAGAGAAAUCUGGUGGUACCAAUACGGGAGCAGAUGUCAGGCGUCUUUUCAGUUCCUGAAAGCUGUGCUCACAUUGUGGAGUCCACUCGAACUUUUUAUCUUUCUUGAGGAGUUCAGUUAGAGGUUUGGCAACUUUGGAGAAGUUCUCGACAAAGCGGCGACAAUAGCUCGCUAAGCCAAGGAAACUCCGAACUUGCUUGACCAAUUCAGGUGGAGUCCAAUUAAGGACGGCUCGAACUCGCUCGGGGUUAAUAGCAAUACCUUUACCAAAAAUUACAUGUCCUAGAUAGGUCACUUCUGGCAACCAAAAUUCACAUUUAGAGAACUUGGCAUAAAGGCGAUGCUCUCGAAGUUUCAUCAACACUAGCCUUAGAUGUUCGGCAUGUUCUUCCUCGUUCUUGGAGUAGAUGAGUAUAUCAUUGAGGUAGACCACGACGAAUUUAUCCAAAUACUCCAUGAAGAUUGAGUUCAUUAACCGAGAAAAGGUGGCUGGGGCGUUGGUUAGACCGAAGGACAUGACGGUGUACUCGUAUUGGCCAUAACGAGUAACAAAGGCCGUUUUAGGAAUGUCCCCGUUCCGGAUUUUGAUUUGAUGGUAGCCUAAUCUCAAAUCCAUUUUAGAGAAGACUGAGGAUCCAGCGAGCUGAUCAUACAGGUCGUUGAUCCUGGGGAGUGGAUACUUGUUCUUGAUUGUGACGAGGUUGACUGGUCGAUAAUCUACAACCAUCCGGUCCGUACCAUCCUUCUUCUUGACGAAGAGGACGGGGCAAGCCCAUGGAGACGAACUAGGUCGGAUGAAACCCUUUUUCAAGGACUCAUCGAGUUGUUUCUUAAGCUCGGCUAGUUCUAGUGGUGCCAUCUUAUAGGGUCUUCUAGCAAUCGGGACAGUUCCUGGAAUGAGAUCUAUCACGAACUCAACAUCUCUGUCAGGUGGAACACCUGGCAAUUCCUCUGGGAAGACAUCUGAGAAGUCACGGACUACCGGAAUGUCUUCAAGGUCUGGCAACGGACUGGCAUUAAGAGAAUAUAGCUGUCGCUUAGCUACUCGGGUCAAGACAUUGACUAUCUUUCCCGAAGGAUGUGUGAGUUGAACAGUCCUAGAGAAACAAUCAAUUUUAGCAUGAUGGGCUGACAUCCAGUCCAUGCCCAAAAUGAUAUUAAUAUCCGAAGAUUUGAGAGCUAUCAAAGAUGCGAGAAAAACAAGUCUGUCGACUUGAAUUUCAUUCCCAUGGCUUACUCUAGAAGUUUGCCAUUUGGAUCCCGGGGUUUGAAUUACCAUAGAGGUGGGCAUCUCACAGAAUGUGGUGUUAUGCAGACGAGCAUAGCUCUCGGAUAUAAAUGAAUGAGAUGCUCCUGUAUCGAAAAGAACAGAUGCCAGGUGGCAAUUAACAAGGAGCGUACCAAGAACGACGUUGGGAUCCUCUUGAGCUUCUUCGGCAGAGAUACAGUUGACAUGGCCACGUGCAGCGGUGGCCGGCUUGGCGUAGAACGCUUUCCCUGUCGACUUGCCACGGCCAACAGCUUUUCCAGAUUGGUUGGGGUUGGUCUGGGGACACUCGCGCAGAUAGUGGCCCGGUUCCCCACAUUUAAAGCAAGUCACAGAGCUGGUACGUGGAGGAGCAUUGUUGGUUGGACCACCAUAGGGCUUGGCUGGUGUAAACUAUUGGGCGGGGCGAGGCAAUUGAAAGGAUGGCCUCGGUGUGAACCUGGGUGGCAGGGCAGUGUUAGGCACCCACACGCGGCGCUUCUGAGGACCAGCACCGGAUGAAGAACCCAUGUCACGGCCAUGCUUGCGUGUUGCUUCAAAAUCGGUCUGACCAGACUCAGCACUGAUGGCUUUGUUAACAAGCUUCUGAAAAGAUGUGCACUCAUGCAGACGGAGAUCGCGGCGAAGCUCAGGGCUAAGUCCCUUACGGAACCUUGCUUGCUUCUUGGCAUCAGUAGAGACUUCCUCAGUUGCAUAUCGUGCAACGUUACCGAACUCCCUGUUGUAAGCAUCCAUAGAAAGUCGACCUUGAGUGAAACUGCAGAACUCCUCACGUUUACGGUCCAUGAGACCCUCCGGAAUGUGAUGAUCAUGGAAAGCCUCGCUGAAUUCAGCCCAAGUAGUGACAUGGCCCGCUGGGCGCAUAGCUCCAUAGUUCUCCCACCAUAGACUGGCGGGGCCUUCAAGAUGAUAUGCAGCAAAGGUGACCUUAUCAGCCUCAGCUACUAGCGCAGAACGCAGUUUGUGAGUAAUACUGCGAAGCCAGUCAUCGGCGUCAAGAGGCUCGACGGAGUGGUGGAAAGUGGGUGGAUGUAACUUGAUGAAAUCACUGAGUGACACCAAGUUAUUCCUCUGAUGGUGUGUUGUGUUUUGCUCGAUGCGCUCCAACAAACGGUUAGUCUCCCGCUUGUUUCUCUCGACUUCCAGCAUAACUUCGGCCAGAGAGGGAGGGUGAGGCAGAUUUGUUCCCCCAACUCUGCUGCCUUCGGCCUGCUCUGGGGGAGUAGGGUUGGUGCGGGUGUUAACCAUCCUAGGAAAACAAAGCAAUGGUUUAGUCCAGGAUGAUAGGAUUUUGACAUAGAAAUGUAGAAUGUAAUGGAUAACUUGGAAUGUAAGAUGAUCAUCCGUAUGACAUGGUAGAUACAGAAACUACUUCUUUUAUUCCAUCGUCAUACACACCAUACAAGGUUUAGUAUAGAACCAAACAAAGUACUGCUAUGGUGAAAUUAGGAUUACAUCUCAUCGGAGGCAUUCCGAGCUCCUAUACAUUUUUUUUCUACAUCUUCGGAAGGCGGUACAAACUAAGGCAUAUCCCACGAGUCACGCAGGACGGUGGACGAUAUAGCUAGUACGACACUAGUGAUACUACUACUAACUCAGACAGCUCCGUAGUAGUCUUCAUAGAAGUCACCUCCAUAGCCUGGAAGCUCAACGUGAUCAUCCGGAAAUAGUCGGUCCCGUGGAGCUUGUGGACCAUAGGGGCUAGGAUGAGGUCUUGGGCCAAUAAACGGUGGCCUACGGGGACCACGAGGUCGGGUGAUGCCUCCUACAUCAUGCCAAUCCAUCACGUCUGGCAGAGCAGAUCUCACAGGAUAGAGAUCUCGCAUAUCCAUAUAUCCAGCUUGCACAGUCGGUGCAAACCGAGUCAAAGUGGCCCAAUGAUCAGCAUGGGUAUUGAAAAGCUCUAACCUCAAGGCCCGAUUUUCACGGUCCUUGUCUUCAAGCAACUGUGCAGUGGUGUGGGUCCGUGAAUCCUCCUGGGUGGAGUCAGCAUAGAUAGCCUGGAGAUACCCUUGUGCUCCUGUAAGUGAUGCUGGCAUAUACCGGAAAUCAGAGUCCCGAAAUAGGCCAGUCCUGACUCGCAUGAUGGUCAUCAUAGAGUAGGCAGCAUCCUGCACAGCCAUCUCAAUAGUAACCCCGAGUCCAUAGGAGCAGUGAAGGGGCUCGGUAGAUCCAGGAUAAGAUGGAAAUAUCCUGACAGUGCAAAGAUAUUGACUUUGAUUAAAGUCUCGGAAUUGCUCUUCAACCGUGUACUCAGGAUACCAACGGUAUCCAGCCUCGGUCAUUACCCUGACCAACAUAGCAGUAUGGCCGGGUACAUCUAGACAUCGAGUCAAACGAACCACUUGAUUCUGAGGACGGGACGCCAUCUGGAACAUGAUAAACACAAGACAUUAAAAUUCCUAGCAAAAAUUGGAUAGCAUAACGGCUGUAAAUGCUCAAAAAGGAUUUUGAGGCAUUUGACAAAGAAUUGCAUAGACACUCAACAACAUCAUAUCAAAGUUCUGGGUCCAUCUUAGCAACAUAAUGGGAUAGUAGAACUGAACUAGGCUUGUAUGCAUCAAACCUAUAAGGUACUACUGAUUAGUAACACGUGAAGUUGAUAGAGAGGAGAGAUCCUAGUCCUUAACCCCCGGUAGAAGAAUAGACUGACUCAGAUCAGAAUGUCAUGAGAUAGAGGAGUAAAAAGAGCCUUACGUUCCAUCCCACAAUCAAUUCCCCUAUAUAUAACUAAAGAAUUUCUAGACUCAACAUCGACCAGUUUGGCUUGGAGAACCUACAGGCAGUCCGGCUCUGAUGCCAACGCUGUCAGGACCCCGACUCGAUGCCACAUCGAUCUAGCAUGUGACACCUCAUAUCACUUUGCGGCCUCACGCACGGUUUUCCCACGGGUGUCGUCUUACCUUUGCCCGGGACCGUUUGCACCUUUUGGCACACGUAUAUGAUAGUGUCGCUAGCAUCCAUAUGGUAAGGAUCCCGGGCUGACAUGGCUAGUCGUAAACCCAAAGUGGCACAGACUUACAGGGACAGGCAUCCAUGACCCAGCAUCGAACGUGUCGGUCAUCAGCAAGUGAAUCCGGGCUGUAGCACUGGGCUGGUAGGACUCUGGUAAACCGGGUUGUAGCGGGCUAACAGGACUCCGGUAUCCAUCGCGUGACAUUUCCCCGAAGGGACAGACACAGGAACGAAGAAGGACACAUGCCGGCCAGCCUAAGUGUUCCGGAGCAGUAGCAAGCUACCAAGGCUCAGUGGAGACACUAGGAGACAUUUCCCAGUAAGAGAGGCUACUAAGAAUAAACAACUAGAUAGUCAGAUCCCACACAUACCAAGCAUUUCAAUCAUACACACAAUAUGCUCGAUAUGUGCAAAUACAACAAGGCAUCACAACAUGACUCUACGACACCAGUACUUUAUUUAAGGCUCAGAGAGCCAUACAUAUCAUACACACAAGUACAGGUCACACGACCUAGCAUUCAAGUCAUACAGACAUAGAAGCCAACAGCGGAAGUAACUUGUCUGGGUACAGACAACUAGUAAAAUAAAAGAGGCUUGGGAAAGCCUGGCUAUACUACGUGGUCCUUCACAAGCUCAGGAUCACCACCUGGGCCUCGGUCUACUCAUCGAUGUCAACGUCUACGAAGAACCCAUCAGAAGGGGUUGCAGCGUCUUCUGAAAAAUGUAAAUUAAAGCAACAUGAGUACAAAGGUACUCAGCAAGACUUACAUCAGAUCCUACAUACAUGCACAUUAUCAAGAAGGGUUGGUGGGGUUAUUGCAGCAAGCCAGCUUUGACUCUUGGCUAAGCUAUCCUACGAUACACCAACUUGAAAUGGCUUUGCGCACACGAGUCCACUACUCACCACUUCAAUACACCACCGAGGAUCCACCUCCGUCAUCCUACGGAAGAACCAUCCUCGGCACUCACGCUUAUCUUGAGAUUUUUAGUAGUAUCCAUUUACUUGUCUAUGAACUGUAUAGGCAACCAAGUAGUCCUUUACCGCGGACGCGGCUAUUCGAAUAGAUAAUGUUAACCCUGCAGGGGUGUACUUCUUCAUACACGCUCUCACCACUUACCGCCGUUUACACAACAUGUACUCGGCAACCUUCAAGCGGAAGCCCAACGUGGGUGUCGGCCACGACCUACCUAAACACCUAAGUCUCUAGUCCAGGUUUAUCGCCUAUCCAGGUUCCAUCCGCAGGGAGUCCAGCCGAGGUUUCCACAUACGGCCCUGAACGAUGUGUACAGGGUUCCCGAGAUACCUAACGGGUAUCUGGUACACCGUGCCAUGUACCUACCGCAUCACAGCCCACCCCUACGGUCAGCGCUGUCCACGGCCUCCAGUAGGCUACAAACACCAGAAACUACUUGCAACUCCUAGACAGAGGACUAGGGUGAAUAAGAAGCCAAGAGGGUCCAUUGGUUUCGGGCCCAAUGCAUGGUAGUAGCUGAUUCUUAAAUCACACAUACAGAUCUCAGUGCUUAAGGACGGCUUCAAUGAAACAACCCACCAUGUACUCCUACAUGGCCUUUCAUCGAUACCUUUACCAAAUCGUGUUCACCACAUCACUCUCAUUACCGGCAUGAUCAUUUCACUCUAGCCCAUCACCCAGAUGAACCAGACCUGACUCGACUCUAAGCAUAGCAGGCAUAGCAAGGUAGGAACAACACAUACAUAUGGCUCAAUCAACUCCUACACAUGCUAGUGGGUUUCAUCUAGUUACUAUGGCAAUGACAGGUCAUGCAGAGGAAAUGGGUUCAACUACCGUAGCACACAGCAGUUUGAAACGUGUUGUCUUAAUGCAGUAAAAGAGAGCAUAAGGAGAACAUGGGAUUGUAUCGAUAUGAUUAAAUGGUUGGUUGCUUGCCUGAUGGGUCGAUGCACUGAUAUUGUUCUUCGUUGGGGUAAUCAUGAUACUCCUCAGGGGCAGGACCUGCCGCAGAGAGCACCGAUACACAACAUCACCAAACAGUAUGCAGCAAUAUGAUGCAUGCAUGAAACAUGGCAAUAUGAGUGUGUUGGGCGAAUGCAACUAAAACCAGAUGGGUUUGAACCAUUUUGAAUCAAAGAUUCAAGUUUCAAACUCAUACAUGGCCCUUAUAAGGUGCUUUAACUUGUUCUGCAAUAAACAGUAGGUUAGCUUGUUUAAACAUGCAUGAAACUUGUACAGGUGGAUAGAUUGGAUUUUUCUGAUCAUUUUUCAUAUAUAACACUUUGCAUUUGGAGUUAUGGUUGAUUUACUAUGAAUUUUUGAAGUUUGGGGGAUUUUCUGGAAUUUAUAAAUCAUUCUAGAUUUAUUUUAAUUCCAGAAAAGGAUUACUGCGUCAGCAUGAUGUCAUGCUGACCUCAGCAGGUCAACAGGCCGGUCCAGGUCAAACUGACCAGUGGGUCCCGCAUGUCAGCACAAUUAGUUUAGCUAAAAAUUAAUUAGAACUAAACCGGAUUAGUUAACAGGGCUGGGGGUUCUGUCAUCCCCAUUUCAAGUUUCUGAUGGACAUUUUGGAAGGGCAUUUCAGGUUCAUUGAAAAUAUUUUUAGUAAACCCUAGUUGGAUUCAGAGGGGGCUGGGGGUUCUGUCAUCCCCAUUUCAAGUUUCUGAUGAAAGAAUAGACAUGAUGCAACACUCUAAUGCAUGAACUAGCUAGGGUGUGACACCGGUUGUAGAUAACUUGACACCAGAUCCGAAUUAAAACGCAUCAACCGCGUGUGUAGCCGUGAUGGUCUCUUUUCGGUGGAGUCCGGGAACUGAACACGGUUUUGGGUUAUGUUUGACGUAAGUAGGAGUUCAGGAUCACUUCUUGAUCAUUGCUAGCUCCACGACCGUUCCAUUUGCUCUCUUCUCGCUCUUAUUUGCGUAUGUUAGCCACCAUAUCUUUCUUAGUCGCUGUUGCAACCUCACCACUUUACCCCUUCCUUUCCCUUUAAGCUUUGCUAGUCUUGAUACCCAUGGUAAUGGGAUUGCUGAGUCCUCGUGGCUCACAGAUUACUACAACAACAGUUGCAGGUACAGGUUAUGCGAUGAUCAUGACGCAAGAGCGAUGCUUGCUUGUUUUGGAGUUCUUCUUCUGCUUCUUCUUUGAUCAGGAGAUAGGUUCCAGGUCGGCAGCCUGGGCUAGCAGGGUGGAUGUCGUUUGAGUUUUUGUUUGUGAUUCAUCCGUAGUCGGAUGAUGCUCUUAUGUAUUGUGAUGUUGUAUUCGUGUGGCAUUGUAUACCUCUUGUAUGUAUCCCCAUCUAUUAUGUAAUGUUGAUGUAAUGCUAUCCACCUUGCAAAAGUGUUUCAAUAUGCGGUUCUAUCCUUGGUGGGACCUUCUAGUCUCUUUAGGAUAGUAUCGCAUAUUGGGCGUGACAUUAUGUUGUUGUCCUUUGGUGCCCAUCAUAUGAGCGCGCGCGUGGAUCACACCAUAGGGUUAGUUGUAUGUUGAUAGGACUAUGUAUUGGAGGGCUAGAAUGACAGAAGCUUCAACCUAGCAUAGAAAUUGAUGCAUACGGGAUUGAAG
rnacentral:lncRNA from 1 species